rnacentral:rRNA from 1 species
AUUGAACGCUGGCGGCAUGCCUUACACAUGCAAGUCGAACGGCAGCACGGGAGCAAUCCUGGUGGCGAGUGGCGAACGGGUGAGUAAAGUAUCGGAACGUGCCCAGUCGUGGGGGAUAACGUAGCGAACGUUACGCUAAUACCGCAUACGAUCUAUGGAUGAAAGCGGGGGAUCGCAAGACCUCGCGCGAUUGGCGAGGCCGAUAUCAGAUUAGGUAGUUGGUGGGGUAAAGGCUCACCAAGCCGACGAUCUGUAGCUGGUCUGAGAGGACGACCAGCCACACUGGGACUGAGACACGGCCCAGACUCCUACGGGAGGCAGCAGUGGGGAAUUUUGGACAAUGGGCGAAAGCCUGAUCCAGCCAUGCCGCGUGCAGGAUGAAGGCCUUCGGGUUGUAAACUGCUUUUGUACGGAACGAAAAGGUUUGGCCUAAUAAGCUGAGCUCAUGACGGUACCGUAAGAAUAAGCACCGGCUAACUACGUGCCAGCCGCCGCAGUAA